AUAGUUCAUGCAAAACCAAUAAUUCAUCAAAACAUAGAAUGAGAAAAAUUAUCAUGUUUGUCUUUUCUGAAAUUCAAUAACAAAUCAAAUCACCAGAAAAUCAUCUUUCGAAAAUUUUAUCAGACCUAAAAAAUUAAGUGUGCUCCAACUGUCUUCUUCAAUGGAUGCUUCUACCGUAUGAAAUCAUAAUCCAGAUUUUCAUCAUCAUCAUCAACAACAACAAAAGAACUUACAAUUUAGAUUUUCAUGGAAGGUCAACAACAACAACAAAGUGAAUUUUAACAAAUGAAAAGAUGAACCUGAGAAUCAAUUAAAUGAACGGAAAAAGAAAUCUCAUCAAUAAUCUAAACACAAUAUAUUUAUCUCUACACCAUUCAAUUAGGUAAAAAGAAAAUGAAUUUCCAUUUGAAUCAAUUGGUUAAACUCCAAUUGGCAUGACUCACUCAUGACUUAGUCGAGUUAACUCAUUCACAGCAAAACUCAAAUCCUAUAUAUUUCCUUAAAACUUCAAAUUUGAAAUCUCCUUCUCCCCCUCUUUUGCGCCACCUCUAUGAACUCUCCAUCUCUCUUUGAUCCUUUGCGCCGCCGCUCACACUCCAAAUUGUCUCUGCCUCCCUUUCCCGAUCUGGAAUUUUGUUUCUUUCUAUUAUGGGUUGGCUGCGAGGAUGCAAUUGAUGGAGAUAAAAAGGAUAAUGAUAGGGAUGUUGGUGUUUGAAGUGAAGGGUUGUGGUUAUAAUACGAGAAGUUUUUGGUGGGGAUGUUACUGUUUCGAUAAAAUGAAGAAGAUAAUAACAUGGUUAAGGUGAAGAAAAAUUGGGGGUAGUGAUUGGGAGGGAAGAAGAUGAUAUUUGGAUAAUGUUAAGGGAAAGAAGAAAUUGUGUUUUGAAGAAACGAGUUUCAUAUGUUGAAAAUUUUUUGGUUGAAUAAAAUGAGAUGAGUUCUUUAAUGGAGGUGGUCGAAAGGUAGAACAUGAAGAUGUGAGAAAUUUCUGUAUAUUUAUUUUAAUGUUUAUGAAAUUUUAGUUUUGAAUUCAUGAAUAAGCCAUGUGUUAGGUGACCGGAUAAAAAAAAUGAUGAACAACUUGAAUUCGUCAUGAAGUACCAUAUUCCCUC
rnacentral:lncRNA from 1 species